rnacentral:rRNA from 1 species
CUACGGGGCGCUGCAGUGAGGAAUAUUGGUCAAUGGGCGCGAGCCUGAACCAGCCAUCCCGCGUGCAGGAUGACGGCCCUAUGGGUUGUAAACUGCUUUUCUAUGCCAAGAAACCUGAUUACGUGUAAUCAGUUGCCGGUAGCAUAGGAAUAAGCAUCGGCUAACUCCGUGCCAGCAGCCGCGGUAAUACGGAGGAUGCAAGCGUUAUCCGGAUUCAUUGGGUUUAAAGGGUGCGCAGGUGGGCUUGUAAGUCAGUGGUGAAAUGCUGCCGCUUAACGGUAGAACUGCCAUUGAUACUGCGAGUCUUGAGUAUGGUUGAGGUAGGCGGAAUGUGUUGUGUAGCGGUGAAAUGCAUAGAUAUGACGCAGAACGCCAAUUGCGAAGGCAGCUUACUAAGCCAUUACUGACGCUGAGGCACGAAAGCGUGGGGAGCGAACAGGAUUAGAUACCCGGGGAGUC